rnacentral:rRNA from 1 species
CCCUUAGAUGUUCUGGGCCGCACGCGCGCUGCACUGAUGCAUUCAACGAGUCUAAAACCUGCUCUGAUAGGGGUGGGUAAUCUUUUGAAUGUGCAUCGUGAUUGGGAUAGAUGAUUGCAAUUUUUCAUCUUCAACGAGGAAUGCCUAGUAAACGCAAGUCAUCAGCUUGCAUUGAUUACGUCCCUGCCCUUUGUACACACCGCCCGUCGCUCCUACCGAUUGAAUGAUCCGAUGAAUAUCAUGGAUUGAGGAUGCAAGUAGGUUAGCCUAUCUUCAUCUUCGAGAAGUGAAGUAAAUCUUAUCAUUUAGAGGAAGGAGAAGUCGUAACA